UAUCCUGUCUGAAUAUGGGGGGACCAUCCUCCAAGGCUAAAUACUCCUGACUGACCGAUAGUGAACCAGUACCGUGAGGGAAAGGCGAAAAGAACCCCGGCGAGGGGAGUGAAAAAGAACCUGAAACCGUGUACGUACAAGCAGUGGGAGCCCCACCACUAAGCCAGUGGUGAACUCCACAUACGCAUCCUUUGCUGAGGAUACGGUUAACGGAGCGAAAGCGACGUUCAACCGCAAAAGAAGCAGAGGGGGCUUAGUGGUGGGGUGACUGCGUACCUUUUGUAUAAUGGGUCAGCGACUUAUAUUCUGUAGCAAGGUUAACCGAAUAGGGGAGCCGGAGGGAAACCGAGUCUUAACCGGGCGUUAAGUUGCAGGGUAUAGACCCGAAACCCGGUGAUCUAGCCAUGGGCAGGUUGAAGGUUGGGUAACACUAACUGGAGGACCGAACCGACUAAUGUUGAAAAAUUAGCGGAUGACCUGUGGCUGGGGGUGAAAGGCCAAUCAAACCGGGAGAUAGCUGGUUCUCCCCGAAAGCUAUUUAGGUAGCGCCUCGUGAACUCAUCUCCGGGGGUAGAGCACUGUUUCGGCUAGGGGGCCAUCCCGGCUUACCAACCCGAUGCAAACUGCGAAUACCGGAGAAUGUUAUCACGGGAGACACACGGCGGGUGCUAACGUCCGUCGUGAAGAGGGAAACAACCCAGACCGCCAGCUAAGGUCCCAAAGUCAUGGUUAAGUGGGAAACGAUGUGGGAAGGCCCAGACAGCCAGGAUGUUGGCUUAGAAGCAGCCAUCAUUUAAAGAAAGCGUAAUAGCUCACUGGUCGAGUCGGCCUGCGCGGAAGAUGUAACGGGGCUAAACCAUGCACCGAAGCUGCGGCAGCGACACUCAGGUGUUGUUGGGUAGGGGAGCGUUCUGUAAGCCUGCGAAGGUGGCCUGUGAGGGUUGCUGGAGGUAUCAGAAGUGCGAAUGCUGACAUAAGUAACGAUAAAGCGGGUGAAAAGCCCGCUCGCCGGAAGACCAAGGGUUCCUGUCCAACGUUAAUCGGGGCAGGGUGAGUCGACCCCUAAGGCGAGGCCGAAAGGCGUAGUCGAUGGGAAACGGGUUAAUAUUCCCGUACUUGGUGUUACUGCGAAGGGGGGACGGAGAAGGCUAUGUUGGCCGGGCGACGGUU
rnacentral:rRNA from 1 species